GCCAUGCGUCAGUACGGCGAGUGAGCGGCAACAGCUCAAUUUGAAAUCUGGCCCUAGGCCCGAGUUGAAGUUUGCAGAGGAUGCUUUUGGUGCGGUGCCUUCCAAGUUCCCUAGAACGGGACGCCAGAGAGGGUGAGAGCCCCGUACAGUUGGACACCAAGCCUUUGUAAAGCUCCUUCGACGAGUCGAGUAGUUUGGGAAUGCUGCUCAAAAUGGGAGGUAUAUUUCUUCUAAAGCUAAAUACCGGCCAGAGACCGAUAGCGCACAAGUAGAGUGAUCGAAAGAUGAAAAGCACUUUGAAAAGAGGGUUAAACAGCACGUGAAAUUGUUAAAAGGGAAGCGCUUGUGACCAGACUUGCGUCCGGUGAAUCACCCAGCUCUCGCGGCUGGGGCACUUCGCCGGCUCAGGCCAGCAUCAGCUCGCUGUCGGGGACAAAAGCUUCAGGAACGUAGCUCUCUUCGGGGAGUGUUAUAGCCUGUUGCAUAAUACCCUUCGGCGGGCUGAGGUACGCGCUCCGCAAGGAUGCUGGCAUAAUGGUCAUCAGCGACCCGUCUUGAACCACGGACCA
rnacentral:rRNA from 1 species